GUGGGGAAUCUUGCGCAAUGGGCGAAAGCCUGACGCAGCCAUGCCGCGUGAAUGAUGAGGGUCUUAGGAUUGUAAAAUUCUUUCACCGGGGACGAUAAUGACGGUACCCGGAGAAGAAGCCCCGGCUAACUUCGUGCCAGCAGCCGCGGUAAUACGAAGGGGGCUAGCGUUGCUCGGAAUUACUGGGCGUAAAGGGCGCGUAGGCGGACAGUUUAGUCAGAGGUGAAAGCCCAGGGCUCAACCUUGGAAUUGCCUUUGAUACUGGCUGUCUUGAGUGCGGGAGAGGUGAGUGGAACUCCGAGUGUAGAGGUGAAAUUCGUAGAUAUUCGGAAGAACACCAGUGGCGAAGGCGACUCACUGGCCCGUUACUGACGCUGAGGCGCGAAAGCGUGGGGAGCAAACAGGAUUAGAUACCCCGGUAGUCC
rnacentral:rRNA from 1 species